AUUGAACGCUGCGGCAGGCUUAACACAUGCAAGUCGAGCGAGCGGCGGACGGGUGAGUAAUGCUUAGGAAUCUGCCUAUUAGUGGGGGACAACAUCUCGAAAGGGAUGCUAAUACCGCAUACUAUUAGAUGAGCCUCAGUCGGAUUAGCUAGUUGGUGGGGUAAAGGCCUACCAAGGCGACGAUCUGUAGCGGGUCUGAGAGGAUGAUCCGCCACACUGGGAACUGGAACAGGGCCAGAAUCCUCCGGGAGGGAGCAGGGGGGGAAAUUGGACAAUGGGGGGAACCCUGGUCCAACCAUGCCGCGGGGGGGAAGAAGGGCUUAUGGUUGUAAAGCACUUUAAGCGAGGAGGCGUUACUCGCAGAAUAAGCACCGGCUAACUCUGUGCCAGCAGCCGCGGUAAUAC
rnacentral:rRNA from 1 species